rnacentral:lncRNA from 1 species
CUAGGUGGAAAUCAUUAGUUUAAAUUAAAAAAAACAAAUUAACUAAAAAAUUGAUUAAUUAAAAAAACUCAAUUACAAAUCAAAAACACAAAAUCUCUCCUUCUUCUCAUUUUCUUCAUCAUCUCCUUCUUCUUGAACAUCUGGUCCCAAUCUCUGAGGCAAAACAACAAACACUAUCUCUUCAACAACAUAUUCAUCCAUGGUAACACUUUCACAACAUGAUUUGUUUGUUUAACAAAAUAAAAACCCAGGAACGGAAUGAUUAUGAUGGAUGAGAAAAAGCUUCGAACUCAACUUGACCCAAUGAAACCACCCUGCAACUCAAAACAAAUUACACAAGAUUAGAGCAAAGUUUGCAACUUUCUGAAGUGAGCAUUCAAAAAACGAAAAUGGGUAUCAUAUUUGAGAAAUUACUCUGUUUUCCUCUCCUUUGUUGCGAUUUGCUCCUCCUCUUGUGCUUCCUACUGAAACUGUGAACUAGAUCUGCUCACGUUACCAGAUCUGCUUUCUCUUUCUCGCAUCUUCUCUAUCGUCCUCACUUGAUCCAGAGCAACCAUUCCCACUUCCCCUGUCAUUGAACCGCCAAACAACAACCAACCUCACCUUCCAUGAACCAUCAAUCACCACCAUCGCUUCUUCCUCAGGAGAAAUUGAUCCCUGGCACAAAGCCUCAACCAAACCCUUCACCCAAUCACAACCUUCCCCUUCAUAAAACCACUUCAACCCAUAAUCUCUGCCACAAACCUGAAGCCACCCAGCAAGCACUACCUUCAAACCAACAACCAAAAAACAACACCAACUCAAAACCUCCAACAACUGAAAUCCUCCGCCACCGCAACCUAG